UGCGUAGAGAUGUGGAGGAAUACCGGUGGCGAAGGCGGCCUUCUGGACAAAUACUGACGCUGAGAUGCGAAAGCGUGGGGAGCAAACAGGAUUAGAUACCCUGGUAGUCCACGCUGUAAACGAUGUCGAUUUGGAGUUUGGUGGCAUGACUACUGGGCUCCGAAGCUAACGCGUUAAAUCGACCGCCUGGGGAGUACGGCCGCAAGGUUAAAACUCAAAUGAAUUGACGGGGGCCCGCACAAGCGGUGGAGCAUGUGGUUUAAUUCGAUGCAACGCGAAGAACCUUACCUGGUCUUGACAUCCACAGAAUUUUGUAGAGAUACGAAAGUGCCUUAGGGAGCUGUGAGACAGGUGCUGCAUGGCUGUCGUCAGCUCGUGUUGUGAAAUGUUGGGUUAAGUCCCGCAACGAGCGCAACCCUUAUCCUUUGUUGCCAUCGGUUAGGCCGGGAACUCAAAGGAGACUGCCGUUGAUAAAGCGGAGGAAGGUGGGGACGACGUCAAGUCAUCAUGGCCCUUACGACCAGGGCUACACACGUGCUACAAUGGCGCAUACAAAGAGAAGCAAACCAGCGAUGGCAAGCGGACCUCAUAAAGUGCGUCUAAGUUCGGAUUGGAGUCUGCAACUCGACUCCAUGAAGUCGGAAUCGCUAGUAAUCGUGAAUCAGAAUGUCUCGGUGAAUACGUUCCCGGGCCUUGUACACACCGCCCGUCACACCAGGGGAGUGGGUUGCACCAGAAGUAGAUAGC
rnacentral:rRNA from 1 species